UUUCCCCCAAAUUUGAGAACGUAAUAGCACACCACCACCACAAAUCGAUUUAGCUCUCUUCUCCGAUCAGCAACCCCCAAAACUCGAAGGCUUGAGGCAGCUCCUUUGGCCUUCGCCACUAACCAGAAGCACCUCAUUCUGGCAACCUUCCCGCCACACCACUAUCGUCGCUCAAUCACGAAGAUGGAGGAGACUAUGAGAGAACGAGGCAGCACCGAUGGAGCAUCAAGCCCUACACCCUUCGUUCUCCGACUUCUAGCCGUUAUUUGGUCUUCUCACUACCAAGAUCGAAGUCAGAGUUUCUUACUUAUCAAAACCCCUAACCUCGCCUUCGAACUCAGCCAGCGCCGUCAAUGUUGCCCGCCGCAGCUUCACUUACCGCUCUGCCGUACAAGGGAAAUCACUGUUGAGGGACUACGUAUUACGUAAUAGUUGUUGGCUUCUCAGCUCAGAAACCGCAAGCAAAACAAAGAUUGUUGCUGCCCUUGAAUCAGAUUGCUGUCAAUUGAAAUGCAAGGUGAAAAGGGAAAAGGAACUGAGUGGUGUUUAAGCCUAAUCGGUCAUCUAUACAAGGACUGGAUAAAUCAGACUGAAACUGACUCUCUUGUCUCCUCUCCUCUCCUCUACGGCAUAGGGGUGCCACAGCCCACAUCAACCAUCUCCCUCUCGCCGUCUCUCCUCCGAGUCCUCUCCCACCCUCUGGGUGGUUCAGUAAGUCUGUAAACCCUCCGUCGUACAAUUUUUUAUAUGGUAUAUCAUUACGUGCACUCAUGAGGUUUGCUAAAUUUGGUGAUUUAUACUUGCACUCAAUUGUACAUGUUUUAUUUACUUUCUUACAUAGCUUUGUUGAUGUCAUCAAGACAAUAUUGCAAGUGCAUGGAACAACAUUGAGGAUUUGAGGUAUUGAGUCAUUAUUAUUGUCUGUUUUCUUUAAUAACCUCUACUCUUAUAUAUAUGGUUGUGGAGUUUUUCAAGAAAUCUUGCAAUGGAAUGAGCAUUGACACAGUGGAAGAAGUUGCUAACUUGAUGGUGGAUAAAAAAUGUGCAUAUUUUAAUUUUAUUUCUUUUUGAUGUAAUAGAACUACAUUAUGAAAUAGAUGAGAUAAUUUUAGUGAUAUUGUG